rnacentral:tRNA from 1 species
AUGGCUGAAGUAGGCAGUAGACUGUAAAUCUAAUUAUGGGGUUAUCCCUCAAGCUUA